rnacentral:SRP_RNA from 1 species
CGGCGGCGGACGGGUCCCUCGCCAACCCGGUCAGGUCCGGAAGGAAGCAGCCGUAACGAGACCGGCUCGGGUCGUCGGUCAUG